UUCUCUAGAUACUAGUUUGUGAGGAAAAAACUAUUGUCCAGAUUUUCCAGAAAGAGUUGUUUUCUUCUUCAACUAUACCUAAUUCUACAUCAAUUCCAGCUCUCUAUCAAUUCUUUAGGUAUAACUAAUUUGCAUUACCUAUUUUCUAGAUUAUGUUGUCCUUUUCGCAUAUUCAACUAUAUGCAUCCAAAAUGAUUUGUGGUUAAUGAUGUCCUCAUCCUAAAUUUCAAGUGUCUGUAGGUGAUUGCUUGCAUUGUUGCAAAAAUUGGGUUAGUUGGCGACUAGUCGUUAGGCGGUGCUUGCCGCUUCGACUAGAGACUAAUCGAGUCAUUUAAUCAGUGGCCCGAUUAAUCGGGUUUAGUCGGCCUAGACCUUUUUUUUUAAGCAUGGGUCUUUUUUGACUGGGCCUUUUUUUUUUGGCCCCAAUUCCCUUCUGUUGGCCCGUUUCUCAUUCAAGUCCAAUCAUAACAGCCCAAAAACUCCCUCUUCUAGUCUUCUGCUGGGCGACUUCACCUUCCAAUAGCAGAUGCUUGAACCCUAAAAUUCGCAUACGUAUGUUCUUCGCUUGUUGCGCUGGUGAUUCGACUCGGUUCUGUGCCAUUCACUUGUUCUAUUCUUUACUGUCGCUUGUUCUACUCUCUGCUGGAGCUAUUCUGUAUUCUCUUUCAUUGCUUCUACAGGUGUUCCUGUUCGUCGGUUGUUCUAGUCUGCUGGUCGACUCAGGCAGUCGAAAAUGGCAGAAGAAAACUUGAAAACAGAAAUUCCUGUCUUUGAAGAAUGAAGACAAUGGAGUGUCAGAGCAUUCAAAGGGCAAUGAAGAGUCAAGUGAACCAUCUUCAACGCUAGACAAUGAUGAAGAUCUGGGAAAAGGAAAAAGAAGGAGGUGCUACAGCAGACUGAUCCACCAUCUAUUCCUGUUACCGAGCUUUACCCUUCUGGGGAGUUUCCUGAAGGUGAAAUUCAACAGUACAAAGUAAUUUAUGGAGAAUAACUUCUGAAGAAAAGAGAGAGUUGGAGCGCCUUCAGAAGUCGUUAUAUAAUUCAGUUCGCCAAGCUGCAGAAGUUCAUCAGCAGGUUACUUUUUGGUGUUGUGUUCUAAAUAAUUGUUUGUGAAAUGACAAGUAUUUCUGUUGCUAGGAUGGGCGGGUCAUUAUCAUUUUUGAGUUUUGGUUCAUGAGAUUCAUAAUAUUUGCAUUUCAAAUAGGUUCGAAAGUAUAUUAAAGGCAUUUUGAAGCCUGGAAUGUUAAUGAUUGACCUCUGUAGGCCCUGGAGAAUACAGUUCGUAAGUUAAUAUCUGAGAAUGGUCUGCAAUCAGGCAUUGCAUUCCCUACUGGAUGCUCUUUGAACUGGCAAACCUUGAAUUAAUAUGUAUAUAUAUUUUUUUGUUUUUUCUUUUGCUUGAUAAUGUAUUUAUAUGGAUCAGUUUUUAACUGUCAAGGUUGCUGCUCAUUGGACCUCAAAUACAGGAGAUAAGACUUGGCUUCAAUAUGAAUAUCAUUUCAUUUAAAGCCACAUUUCCGCAGUAAACUCAUAAUCUAGGAUAUAUAGUGGACUGUGCAUUUACGGUGGCAUUUAAUCUUAUGUUCGAUCCAUUGCUUGAAGCUUCACGUGAAGCCACCAAUACGGGUAUCAAGGAAUAUGGGAUCGACGAGCAUCUUUGUGAUGUUGGUGCUGCAAUCCAGGAGGUCAUGGAAUCUUAUGAGGUCGGAAUUAGUGGAAAGGUGUUUCAAGAUUUUGAUGUUGAUCUUGAUUCUCAUUUUUGCCACCGACAACAGUGGCCUAGCAAGUCUCUGAGACAUAGACUAUGUUGGGAUGCGUACAAAACAGGAGGAAAAAAUGGAAUAAAAAGCAUAAGCGGAAGGCUCUCCGACAAGCUAAGUUUUAGCCUUUUAUUUUAUAUUGAGAUGUUGGGUGUUUUAACGGAUUUGUUUAUGUAAUGAAUUUAUUUGUGAGAAACAUUCAUGGUCAUUCCUUCUGUGAUUUCUCAGCGUGCAAAUGUGUAUGGCUAUUGUGAAAGCUACAUUUGCUACUUUUCCAGGUCUUGCUGGACUACGAGUGGGAUAUGGAGCAUUUCCUUUGAGCAUCAUUGAGUUCUUUGGAGAGCAAAUGAAUCAUAUAAUGUCUCUGUUGCAGCCGAAGUUGCUGAAUGUGCAGCAUUGAGAAAUCCUAAUUAUGUAGAGGUUAUGCCUUUGCUAUUCUAGGGCUUUACUUUUGUUUGGCAAUUAAGGUGGUGGUGGUUCUUGGUGAUGAUUAUGCUGAUUCAUGGGUGGUGAAGCAUCGGAUGUUAGUGGAAAAAAUUAUAAUAAAGCUGCGACCGGCAUGCCGAGCUUCGUUCCUCUAGUGAUUCCCUUUUAAAAUCCCAUGUGGGGUCUUAUUGCACUUGAAGCUCUUGAUCCUAACUUUGGAACCACAACAAUCCUAAAGGUUAGGCUGUACCAAUUUUAGACAAUCUGCAGUGCAAGAGCCGCAUUGACUAACAGUGCACAGCCACCGAAAGGAAGGGCAAGAACGAGUGUCGACAGAGGAGGAGGUGGCAGUGGCAUUUGAGAUUUCUAAUAAUGAGGAUUCCUAUAAGAAAGUAUCGAUUUUUACAUUUAUAUUUAGGCUAUGUGAUAAUAUAAGCCAUGCCCAUGAAUAUUGUUUCAUACAAAGCUUAAGAGUGUGUUUGGAUUGAGGGAUUUGGAGGGCAAAGCUGGCUUUUUACACGGUUUUUUUAUGCCCUUGACGUCAAAUUGUUUGGUUAAAUUGAUUUGACCCAGAAGUCAUCUUCCUGUGUUUAUUAUAGUCAUUUUGAUCAGUGCACAAAUUACUCUCAUGGUGCUCUCUAUACAUCGACGACUGUAGAUUUUUAUGAUGUUCCUCACGUCCAUCAUGUGUGUAUAUUGAAAGAGAGAAACCAUAGAACCUUUACCUGAAAGGAGAGGAGAUUUCCUUUGAUUUUUUUAUUGAUAACAGGAACCGACCAUUGACCUCUCUGAAGCCAAACUCAGAUGCUAUGGUACUUUCGCAUAAGUUAUUGCUAUUCGUUGUAUAGUCUCUUUUUUCAUCAUUGUAUAGGGAAUUCCCAUUUUCAUUGGUUAGUUGCCCCUUUUCUCAAUCGUACUGAGGAUAUGAUUACUUUGCCUUAAUAUUUUCUUCCACUAUAACCCUCUGGCAGAAGUUGGAAUAGAUGCAAGUUGAAGGUGGUUUUCACUACCUUAUGUUCACUUAAGCUUCAAAUCUUUGUCCGCACUAUGCAGUUGUAAUAAUUUUUUCAUUUACUUUGCCCUUGCCUGCCUUAUGGGAGCCAAUUAGACCUUCGUGACUCUGUAUACUGUUCUCUUGAGAUGCGAGUAAAGCAUAUUUAUAAAAAGUAAAUAACUCCCGUGCACAAGGCUCCUGUAGUGGGUGGGGUCACAGACAAGCAUCCUUCCGCUCGCAUAAUAUGCGGAGAGGUUGUUUUCGGGGUUUGAACCUGUGACCUCUAAGUUGCACGUCAACAUAUUUAUGUGAUUUUUUCGAAUAUCUUUGCUCGAGAACGCUGACUUCCAAGGCUCUUCCCAGUUUUGUUGCUUCUUUUAUUUGUGCGUUGCUGUUCUUCGUCUUUCUUUAUUUCUUUGCAUGCUGCAUCAGAUCUUCGAAUAAGGUUCGCCCUUUAUCAACAUUUUCCUACCCUUUUUCCGGUUAAUCUCCCUUCCUCUCUCAUCUCCAUUUGGCUCUUUUGUGCGCAACGAGGUCACCCACUCCCACAAUAUGGCUAUGGAUGUCAAACAAUCUGAGGACAGCAGCAUUUUGCAGAGCAAUCAGGUGAUGACCCACUUCUGGGUUUGUUUUUGUUUGUAUGAUUUUCGAACUUUCUUUCCUUUCCCUUGCUUUGUUUUGGCUUCUGGGUGAUUGUUACUUGCAAAUUUUAUUGGUCUGUAUUUUGUUAGGAGAUGUGUCAUGUAAUGCUGUGAUGUUCUUUUAGAUUAAUGAAUGACAAAACAAAUAAAAAGCAUCUGCCCAACUGUGAUGGCAAUAGCUUUUAGCAAAAUCUGUUAUUUGAUUUAUUUCUUCUUCCAUCUAUGAUUGACUGCUUUACCUGUCUCUGCCUCAUUCUCACCUUCUUUGGUUGCUACAGGUUAGUUAGUUUGUCUUUCUUACUCAUCUUCCUCGAGUUGAUUAAUGUUUACAGAUCGUCACUUCUUAGGGUACUUUUAUCUUUUUCCACAUCUGUACAGAUAUUAUAAAUCUUAAUAUAAUAUUGGCUUUCACUUAUCUGAUAUUAUGAUUCUGCCUUCUAGGCCUUGAGAACGAUGAUCAAGGAAAGCCAAGUGCGUAUACCCUUUUCAUAAAAUACGGUGUAAUUAACUUUUCAGAUGGUUAUCCCAAUAAUUUAUAAAUUUAAUUCAAUUCCCCGAGUUGUUUCCGAUGGUAAUAAGUAGAAUGGGAGCAUCUACAUGCUUUUUGAGUUCAUGGACCAUGGCUUGACCGGCCUAGGCAAUUGUCCUGGACUAAUAUUUAUUGUACAACAGAUUGAGGUACCGGUAUUCUCUUUUGCUUUAUAUUAGUUGUUUUAAUUUUGUGUUUCUUCUAGGCUUUCUCAUUUUCUCUCGGUUUGGGUAUUAUUAGGAUCUUUGGAGAAGAGGAAGCAAAAUUUUGUGAAGCUCGAAACUACAAAUGGUAAGGCACUGCACUAUGUUACCCUUACCCUUGAUUAUAAGCUUACAUUUGCCUUUUCUUUCCAUGUCUAUCUGCAUACAUUUCUUACUGCUGCAUAGACCUGCAAUCCUCCCAUGCUUACUGGUAUAUAUUUCUGCUUUGUUUCCAAUCGUGUUGUUUUUGCUAUCAUCCGGCUGCCCCAUUGUAAUAAAAUCUAGAAGUAGGUGAUAAACAGACAGAAAGACAAAGUCUAAUGCAAGUGUCAUCCUAAUCGUACAGUAGAAGCUAAACAACAAUUCAGAGAAUGAUUUUGUUAAUCUCUUAUAUGUAUAUGCAUUAUUACCAAGGAAAACGAUUGUAGAAGUCUUCAAACUGAUACAAUGUGAAAGAUCAUUUGGAAGAUGAAGGCCCAUGAGACCAUACUUUGCUUAAUUAGAAAGGAAAAAUAGUGUAAAAAAUUUAACAAAUGUUAUCAAAACUUCACACUCUAUGGCAUGAACUCAUUUUUCACUUUGUAUAAUGAUCCAAUCUUUAUCCACCUGCUCUUCUUACUUUCUCAGGAACCAAAUAGGAAGUGAAAUUUUUUUAGAUGGUUUUGGAUUCCACAACAUGGUGAUUGGAUGCUCUGGUGCAUUCGGUACAACUAUGUGAUCUGGACCCAAGAGUGAUAUGAUUUAAUGCCUUCAGUUUCUAUUGCAUAUUCGGGGUAGGGGUGGGAUUGUGGGUGGGAGAAGUGAAACGGUAGUUGUGGUUUAAAAUGUCUGGGUAUACUUUUCUUAGCAUCUUAAUAUGAUUCAAGCCACCAUUUUCUGUGAACUUUCAUAUAUUUUUAAUGCAAUAUGAUUAGAUGAGUUAUUUUUAUGAAGCAUCAGCGAAAGAGAAGGAUGAUCACUCCACUAAGUUGAAGAAGGGAAAGAAAGCUAAGUUAGGCUCUGAAAGUUAGUGUAUAUUCACUAAAUUAAUUCCUAGAUCCGCUGGCAAGGUUAACAAUGCUGUUUGGAGGAGAUCUAUCAAGGUAACGACUGACUUAUUGUUUAUCCAUCCCUUUCCCUCAUUUUAUUAAUGGUGCUAUUGAAAUCUGUAGGUCCGAUUAUAAGGUCAAAUUUAGUUUUCCAUCAAAUUAUGAUGGGAAGUUUGAUGCUACAAAUGCUAAAGGUUCUUCCUUUCUUCUCUCUCUUAGCAACUGAUUUAUAAUGGGGGUUUUUAAGUUUACAAGUUUAGUUGUUUGUAAACUUUGUCUGUGUUUUUUGUUUAAGCAGAUAUUUUUCUGUUCUCAGUUUCUGUUUUUUUGGUCCAUGUAUUUAAUUCGUUUUGUGUUACUUUCAAAGGUGCAAGUUGUUUGCUUAUAUUUUCUGUGGUGUUAAAGCGUAACUUCUUUGUAAUUCUUUGGUGUUAUUAUAUAGGUGCUUAGGUAAAUUUUUUUCUAAUAUAUAUACAUAUAUUACAUUUAGCCAGGAGAUUGGAUGUUGUUUGGGCAGACAGUGAUGUUGUGGAUGGCCAACUGUGGUCGUUGUGUCCUCAGCUCUUCAUUUUCCAGCUAAGCAACCUUUGCCAAGUUCAACAUAUGUAGAGAAAAAAUGUGCUUUUUUCUUUUCCUUUUUUUUCCCCCCCUUCUUUCACCAUUUGACAACCAUGUCCAUGUAAGUGGAAUGGUCACUUCAAACAUGCACGAGUCUGUCGUUAAAUUCAUGUAUUGUUGGUUUUAUUUGCAUGAAUUAAAUGGGGAGGACGAUGAACAUAAAUUGAGCUUAUAAAUCAAAAUUUUAUGCUUUCAGCUUUCUUAUUA